AAUCAACGCUGGCGGCGUGCCUAACACAUGCAAGUCGAACGAGAAAGUGGAGCAAUCCAUGAGUACAGUGGCGAACGGGUGAGUAACACGUGACUAACCUACCUUCCAGUGGGGGAUAACCUCGGGAAACCGGGGCUAAGACCGCAUAACCUCGUGAGGUGAGAUUCCUUGCGAGCAAAGGGGUAAGACGCUGGAUGAGGGGGUCGCGGCCGAUUAGCUAGUUGGCGGGGUAACGGCCCACCAAGGCGAUGAUCGGUAGCCGGCCUGAGAGGGCGCACGGCCACACUGGAACUGAAACACGGUCCAGACUCCUACGGGAGGCAGCAGGGGGGAAUCUUGCACAAUGGGGGAAACCCUGAUGCAGCAACGCCGCGUGGAGGAUGAAGUCCCUUGGGACGUAAACUCCUUUCGACCGGGACGAUAGUGACGGUACCGGUGGAAGAAGCCCCGGCUAACUCCGUGCCAGCCGCCGCCGUAA
rnacentral:rRNA from 1 species